AUGAACGCUGGCGGCGUGCCUAAUACAUGCAAGUCGAGCAAACGGACGAGAAGCUUGCUUCUCUGAUGUUAGCGGCGGACGGGUGAGUAACACGUGGAUAACCUACCUAUAAGACUGGGAUAACUUCGGGAAACCGGAGCUAAUACCGGAUAAUAUUUUGAACCGCAUGGUUCAAAAGUGAAAGACGGUCUUGCUGUCACUUAUAGAUGGAUCCGCGCUGCAUUAGCUAGUUGGUAAGGUAACGGCUUACCAAGGCAACGAUGCAUAGCCGACCUGAGAGGGUGAUCGGCCACACUGGAACUGAGACACGGUCCAGACUCCUACGGGAGGCAGCAGUAGGGAAUCUUCCGCAAUGGGCGAAAGCCUGACGGAGCAACGCCGCGUGAGUGAUGAAGGUCUUCGGAUCGUAAAACUCUGUUAUUAGGGAAGAACAUAUGUGUAAGUAACUGUGCACAUCUUGACGGUACCUAAUCAGAAAGCCACGGCUAACUACGUG
rnacentral:rRNA from 1 species